rnacentral:rRNA from 1 species
AACGCUAGCUACAGGCUUAACACAUGCAAGUCGAGGGGAAACGACAUCGGAAGCUUGCUUUUGAUGGGCGUCGACCGGCGCACGGGUGAGUAACGCGUAUCCAACCUGCCCACCACUUGGGGAUAACCUUGCGAAAGUAAGACUAAUACCCAAUGACGUCUCUAGAAGACAUCUGAAAGAGAUUAAAGAUUUAUCGGUGAUGGAUGGGGAUGCGUCUGAUUAGCUUGUUGGCGGGGUAACGGCCCACCAAGGCGACGAUCAGUAGGGGUUCUGAGAGGAAGGUCCCCCACAUUGGAACUGAGACACGGUCCAAACUCCUACGGGAGGCAGCAGUGAGGAAUAUUGGUCAAUGGGCGAGAGCCUGAACCAGCCAAGUAGCGUGCAGGAAGACGGCCCUAUGGGUUGUAAACUGCUUUUAUAAGGGAAUAAAGUGAGAGUCGUGACUCUUUUUGCAUGUACCUUAUGAAUAAGGACCGGCUAAUUCCGUGCCAGCAGCCGCGGUAAUACGGAAGGUCCGGGCGUUAUCCGGAUUUAUUGGGUUUAAAGGGAGCGUAGGCCGGAGAUUAAGCGUGUUGUGAAAUGUAGACGCUCAACGUCUGCACUGCAGCGCGAACUGGUUUCCUUGAGUACGCACAAAGUGGGCGGAAUUCGUGGUGUAGCGGUGAAAUGCUUAGAUAUCACGAAGAACUCCGAUUG